rnacentral:tRNA from 1 species
GAGGAGGAUGGAGCAUGGUGGUAUUGCGGCUGGCUUGAAACCAGAUGGUGGGGGUUCGAUUCCCUCUGUCCUUG